UACGAAGGGGGCUAGCGUUGUUCGGAUUUACUGGGCGUAAAGCGCACGUAGGCGGAUCGUUAAGUCGGGGGUGAAAUCCUGGAGCUCAACUCCAGAACUGCCUUCGAUACUGGCGAUCUUGAGUCCGGAAGAGGUGAGUGGAACUCCUAGUGUAGAGGUGGAAUUCGUAGAGAUCCGGAAGAACACCAGUGGCGAAGGCGGCCCGCUGGGCAGUGGCUGACGCUGAGGCGCGACAGCGUGGGGAGCAAACAGG
rnacentral:rRNA from 1 species